GGCUCAGGACGAACGCUGGCGGCGUGCCUAACACAUGCAAGUCGAGCGAGGAGAUCCUUCGGGAUGAUCCUAGCGGCGGACGGGUGAGUAACACGUGGGCAACCUGCCUCAUAGAGAGGAAUAGCCUUCCGAAAGGGAGAUUAAUACCUCAUAACAUUGCAGUUUCGCAUGGAACAGCAAUUAAAGGAGUAAUCCGCUAUGAGAUGGGCCCGCGGCGCAUUAGCUAGUUGGUGAGGUAACGGCUCACCAAGGCGACGAUGCGUAGCCGACCUGAGAGGGUGAUCGGCCACAUUGGGACUGAGACACGGCCCAGACUCCUACGGGAGGCAGCAGUGGGGAAUAUUGCACAAUGGGGGAAACCCUGAUGCAGCCAACGCCGCGUGAGUGAUGACGGCCUUCGGGUUGUAAAGCUCUGUCUUCAGGGACGAUAAUGACGGUACCUGAGGAGGAAGCCACGGCUAACUACGUGCCAGCAGCUGC
rnacentral:rRNA from 1 species